rnacentral:rRNA from 1 species
GGCCAGACUCCUACGGGAGGCAGCAGUGGGGAAUAUUGCACAAUGGGGGAAACCCUGAUGCAGCGACGCCGCGUGAGUGAAGAAGUAUUUCGGUAUGUAAAGCUCUAUCAGCAGGGAAGAAGUUGACGGUACCUGAGUAGGAAGCCCCGGCUAACUACGUGCCAGCAGCCGCGGUAAUACGUAGGGGGCAAGCGUUAUCCGGAUUUACUGGGUGUAAAGGGAGCGUAGACGGCAGUGCAAGUCUGAAGUGAAAGCCCCGGGCUUAACCCGGGAAUUGCUUUGGAAACUGUACGGCUGGAGUGCUGGAGAGGUAAGCGGAAUUCCUAGUGUAGCGGUGAAAUGCGUAGAUAUUAGGAGGAACACCAGUGGCGAAGGCGGCUUACUGGACAGUAACUGACGUUGAGGCUCGAAAGCGUGGGGAGCAAACAGGAUUAGAUACCCCCGUAC